UUAAUUAGAGUUUGAGUUAUUUUAAGACGUCUCAUCAUGAAAACAAGGAAAUUUGGCUGCCAGUGCUUUAAGCAAAUUUGUCUUAAAAACAAGCCAACUUGGUUGCCAGUAUAUUAGCCAACUUUGUCUUGAUAAGACGUCUGGUCCCCCGGCGGUGGAGCGAUCGGCCAAGUGUCAUCAGAGCAGGGGCAUUCGUCUCUCUCUUCGAAAAACUCUUGAAGAUGCAACUCUUCCAAUACCUCCUCUCCUAGCACUUCUGACAACCUUAUACACACCUGAUGCACACUUGCCGUGCUCUUCCCUCUCUCUCCCCUCCUCAACUUCCUUUUUCUCCACUUCCUUCUCUUCCCCUCUCUACCUCCUUCCUCUACCACUUUCUCCUCCUACCACACUGUAUUAGUAUGUAUAAAGUAGGCUCUCCUAUCCUCUAGUGUUGACAGAUGCAGUGGUAAUUCCUUGCUAAGGCAUCGUCUUCUGGCUACUUUAAUUUUGUUCAGAAUUGUCUGAUAUGUUGAAUAUCCUCUAAAAUAAUUGCUGGUGUUUUGCCAUUUAUUACUCUAUGACAGUGUUUCUAUGUUGCAGAUUUGUUGCAUGCAGGCAUUUUGAUGAUGUUUUUGGAUCUAUGUUUUUCUGCACUGCUGCAACAAGCACAUUAAAAUAUCACCACUGCAGUGAA